rnacentral:lncRNA from 1 species
UCCAUGUACAACUAAAAAUAUUUUAAAAGAAAAAAGGAAUCCCGAGACAAAGAAAAACAUCUUUGACUCUUCCUAACAUCUAUACCAAACAUCACCCAGUAUCUACUAGGUGUCAUCUGUAUUGGACCUCAGAUAUCCAGACCCGCAGUCAUCAUCCGUGACUCAUAUGCCACCAGUGGUCAUCAUUGAUCCAACUUUGUCUCUUCUUUUCUCAAUAAUAUCUACAGGUGCUUAUUGACCAAUUCAUCUUCUCACUGAAAG